rnacentral:lncRNA from 1 species
CUCCGUUUGAUUCCCAUUAAAUUAAAUUACAUUACAUUCCAUUUCUCUCUCUCUUAUUUUCAACCACACAAUCUUCCAUAAAAUAAUAUUACACAUAAAUCGAAAAUUUUUCCUUUUUUUACCAACCACUCAUUUUUCUAAAAAAUACUAUUUCCCCAUUUUCAUUUUUAGGUAAUGGGGUCAAACGGAGGCUAAAUAAUUUUUAGAUCACAAUUAAAUUGUUAGUCACAAAUAACCAAAUACCAAGUCACAAAUUAAUCAUAUUAUUGGUCACAUACACCAAAGCACCCCACUCCCACCUCCGCAGAUGGUUACACACCAUUCUUCACGCCUUGCUCGUCGUCGCAGCACCACCACAAUUGCCACCAACGUGGACUACAACACCACGACCACCAUUGAUCACGACACAGUACACAGCCACCACACAAACCCCAGAUCCGCCAUCGCAGCCACCACACAAACACCUCAAACAAAUCACUGCCACCACACAAGCACUAGAUUUGUCGAGAUCCACGACCACCUCACCAAGGAAACAACACCACAUCAUAGUAAUAAACCACCAUCGCUAAUUAGAUCUAAUAAAAAAACAAAAAAUUGCCGCCACCACAAGAUCUAACAACAAAUCAUGACAAAACUACAAGAUCAACGGUCUGUGAUGUUCACAUUGAACUGCAGAUCGAACAACCCUUCACCACCGAACUGCAGAUCUAACAACAAAUCAUGACAAAACCACAAGAUCAAUGGAGGGGCGAAGCCGCUCUGUGACUUUCACAUCGAACUGUAAAUGGAAUAACCCAUCGCAAGUCACCACCGAUCAACCCAUCACCACUGCUCUAUGACGUUCACAUCGAACAAACCAUCACCACCGCUCUAUAACGUUCACAUCGAACAACCCGACCGAGCUAUUGUAGCGACAGCAAUGGGGGAGAGGGAGAGUAGAAGAGAUACUGAGAAGAGAAAAGAAGAAGAGGGUACUUUAUUAAUU